UACCGAUGAAAAAGGAGUAUCGCUGGGGCAUCUGUAUUUAUCUGGCUUCCCGUGACUUCUUCGCAGAUCUCUUUCACCUGUUUCCAGAAUGAGGUAUAUUGAUCCCAUUUACAUUCAAGGAUAUCACAUUUAACUUGUGCAUCAUAAUUUCAGGUGUUGCUACCUCGAUCCAGUCCUCCUUUCCUGGGAGUGGUGGGAUCUGUGGUGUCUGUGAAAAUUUCAUCCAUUCCGUCAGAUCUGGUUCCUCAAUGCCACAACCUCUGCAGAAUGGUGUUAUGUCGUCCGGUGAGUUGAGGGUGAUCUGUUUUCCAUCUUUGUUUACCUGGAUGCUGAAGGGGAAUCCCCAUCUGAACAUUGUCCCUUUUUCCUGUAAAA